rnacentral:sRNA from 1 species
GCUGGGAGUUGGGGUGGGCACCUGUAGUCCCAGCUACCAGGGAGGCUGAGGUGGGAGAAUCACUGGAGCCCAGGAGGUGGAAGUGGCAGUGAGCCAAGACUGUGCCACUGCACUUCAGCCUGGGUGACAGAGUGAGACCCCAUCUCAA